rnacentral:rRNA from 1 species
CAGCCGCCACGGUAACACGUAGGGUGCGAGCGUUAAUCGGAAUUACUGGGCGUAAAGCGUGCGCAGGCGGUUGUGUAAGACAGGUGUGAAAUCCCCGGGCUUAACCUGGGAACUGCGCUUGUGACUGCACAGCUAGAGUAUGGCAGAGGGGGGUGGAAUUCCACGUGUAGCAGUGAAAUGCGUAGAGAUGUGGAGGAACACCGAUGGCGAAGGCAGCCCCCUGGGCCAAUACUGACGCUCAUGCACGAAAGCGUGGGGAGCAAACAGGAUUAGAUACCCGCGUAGUCCCUGUCUCUUAUAC